rnacentral:rRNA from 1 species
UACGGAGGGGGCUAGCGUUAUUCGGAAUUAUUGGGCGUAAAGAGCUCGUAGGCGGUCUGUCGCGUCUGCUGUGAAAACUCAGGGCUUAACCCUGAGCUUGCAGUGGGUACGGGCAGACUAGAGUGCGGUAGGGGAGACUGGAAUUCCUGGUGUAGCGGUGAAAUGCGCAGAUAUCAGGAGGAACACCGGUGGCGAAGGCGGGUCUCUGGGCCGUAACUGACGCU